rfam:Pristionchus pacificus strain PS312 contig319, whole genome shotgun sequence.
GGUCCCGUAGUGUAGCGGUUAGCACUUUAGACUUUGAAUCUAGCAGCGGGAGUUCGAUUCUCCCCGGGACCU